AGCGGUGCAGUUUCAUCACUAUCCUAAAAAUAAAUAAAUGAGCGGGCAAUAAUGACGCAUGGGGAAUCGAGAUCUAGGGACUGCUCCGAACCCUCGUGGUUUAAAUACCGUAGGGAUGGGAUGGGAGGAAGCGUCUUCCCCUCCUUAUUCUUUCCCGCGGCCGGCGGCGGCCAGAGCUUCGACCUGUCCAGGAGUCAUGCUCAGAACCCACUACCUGUUCGACGAAAUGCACAAGAAGGUUGUUGACGCAGGCACGGAUCCUUUUCGCGUCCUCUCCGACGAUGUGCUCGAGCACAUCCUUUCCCUUAUGCCGGGGGAUGAAGCCCUACAGACUUGUGUGCUCGGUACCCAGUGGCGUGACCUCUGGAGGCGCAAAACCAACUUGCGCUUCAUCUUUAGCUCCUCAUCUCCCGCCACUUGAGGACCAUAGAAUUUAGAUUCCUUGACCUCGUAGAUUCCUCAGUAGAUUUCUCGGGCUGCCCAGUAUUAGAGGAGCUAACAAUAGAAAGAUGCUACGUCGACACAGGGAAGAUAUGUUCUAAUUCACUAAAGCAUCUGCGGUUAGUUGGGAAUUGUACCUUCUCCGAGGAUAUCCACAUUCCUAUUGCUGCCCUGCGCCUUAUCUCACUGGAACUAGGUAGUUUUCAGUGCUUGACUCCUUUCCUUGAAGAGAUGCCAUUACUGGAACGCAAUGGGUGUUAUAAUGUCUGUCAUAGUGACCCUAAAUGUGGUGGAUGUUCUCACAAGAAGUGUCUACUUCUCAAUGGAUUAUCCAAUGCUGUUGAUUUGAAAUUGAUUGCUACGCCUGAAUUGCCUAUCUUCAAACGGGAUUUGGAAUGGUGCCCUAAAUUUGACAAGUUAAAGACUCUGAAACUCAAUGAUUGGUUUACGGCUACUGACCUAGUUUGCAUUCUCCAACACUCUCCAAAUCUUGAGAAGCUCACUCUUAAGAUCGAUUUCCCUGAGAACUUUGUAGGAGGAGAAGGAUCCAGACAAUCAUUUGUGUGUCUGCCUCAUUUGGUUGUCAACAUUAAAUGUAGGAAAGUUGAUAAUGCUGUUUGCAAGAUUUUGGACGUCUUGAGGACAUGUGGCAUACUUCUUGAGCAUAUUAGCAUCAAGUGUUGUGAUCGCACUUAGAUUGUUCCAUCCACUGAUUGGGACUAAGAUAUGAGCUCAGUCAUGAUGUUUGUCUGCCGAUUUAUGUUUCUCUAAAGAGUCAUCAAUAAUGGUACCAUGUGUUGGCGGUUAGCCUGUUACCAUGAUGUUUUAGUUUCUCCUUCCCAUGUAUUGUCCCAGCUGGAAAUCUAUCAUUGUGGUUUCUCUUGUGCAACUUAGCAAAAUGAUGGUCGUCAGAACAUUGUUUUUAUGGAAGUUUGGAAGCGCAUUGACAUUUCAUGUUCUUGUCAUAUUUAGUAGAUCAUUGAUAUUAUACCGGAAUUUUCUGGUUACCAGAAUUUUAGUAUAUGUGCGUGCAUCCUUUCAUGUCUCUUUGCCCUGCUCAAACCUAGUUCUUGUCGUCUGAUUG